GUAGUCUCGCACAGAUGCAUAUCAAUAAGCGGAGGAAAAGAAACUAACAAGGAUUCCCCUAGUAACGGCGAGUGAAGCGGGAAGAGCUCAAAUUUGAAAUCUUAAAGGGCUUUCCCCUUACGAAUUGUAGUUUAAAGAAGUGUUUUCUGUUGAGGUUUUGGUAAAAGUUCUUUGGAAUAGGACAUCAUAGAGGGUGAGAAUCCCGUAUUUGACCUUUACUUUCAACUUUGUGAUACACUUUCAAAGAGUCGGAUUGUUUGGGAAUGCAGUCCAAAAUGGGUGGUAAAUUUCAUCUAAAGCUAAAUAUUGGCGAGAGACCGAUAGCGAACAAGUACCGUGAGGGAAAGAUGAAAAGGAACUUUGAAAAGAGAGUUAAACAGUACGUGAAAUUGUCCAAAAGGGAAGCGUUUGACACCAGUGUUGUUUUUCUGAAAAUCAAUUAAAGAACUGUUUAUGCUAAGCUGUUUAGACUUUAUCAGCUAACUGUUUAGUUUUGAGCUUUUCUUUAAUGCACUUUUCAGUUAACAAGUCAACAUCAAUUUCUUUUGCUGUAAAAAAGCUUGAGGAAGGUGGCUUGAGAUUCGUCUUAAGUGUUUAUAGCCUCUUGCCUAUGCAGUCGGAGAGAUUGAGGUCUGCAGCGUAGAUCCUUCGGGGCUAAAUGCAUUUGUGACUAAGUUAUAGCAUUUUAUAGACAACUUGUUGACUAUGAUUUGUCUUGUAGCUUACUCGCUUAUGUUAUUUUACCUACGCUUAGGAUGUUGAUCUGUAGUGCGUGCGC
rnacentral:rRNA from 1 species